AUGACGUCAAGUCCUCAUGGCCUUUAUGACCAGGGCUACACACGUACUACAAUGGCCGGUCAAAGGGCAGCGACACAGCGAUGUGAAGCCAAUCCCGAAAAGCCGGUCUCAGUCCGGAUUGGAGUCUGCAACCCGACUCCAUGAAGUUGGAAUCGCUAGUAAUCGCGGAUCAGCACGCCGCGGUGAAUACGUUCCCGGGCCUU
rnacentral:rRNA from 1 species